UGNCGGNAGGNCUAACACAUGCAAGCCGAGCGGUAUUGUUUCUUCGGAAAUGAGAGAGCGGCGUACGGGUGCGGAACACGUGUGCAACCUGCCUUUAUCUGGGGGAUAGCCUUUCGAAAGGAAGAUUAAUACUCCAUAAUAUAUUGAUUGGCAUCAAUUAAUAUUGAAAGCUCCGGCGGAUAGAGAUGGGCACGCGCAAGAUUAGCUAGUUGGUGAGGUAACGGCUCACCAAGGCGAUGAUCUUUAGGGGGCCUGAGAGGGUGAUCCCCCACACUGGUACUGAGACACGGACCAGACUCCUACGGGAGGCAGCAGUGAGGAAUAUUGGUCAAUGGGUGCAAGCCUGAACCAGCCAUCCCGCGUGAAGGGCGACUGCCCUAUGGGUUGUAAACUUC
rnacentral:rRNA from 1 species